CGCUUUUUUCUCGUCGGUCGAUUCAUGCCGAGAACCGAGAUCCGACGCCGGCGUUGCGAUUCCUCGCGUCUGCUCGCCGGCGAUCGCUUCCGCCCUCAGGUUCGUCAGCUGUGAUGAAGGAUUCCAGUUUAGAGCAGGACGACUUGACCUAGCACUCGUGUUCCGAGACGCUUGGUAGGGUUCCUUGACGCUCCUCCAGUUGCUUUGUUUAUGCCGUCGGCUGAUUCGAAAGAGGGUUUUUCCUGUGAGAAUUUUGGAAAGGAUUUUGGGUGAUCUAAGGGUUCCUGAUCCUCAGCUUGACCUAUUUGGAGGUAUGGGUGUGGAAGUGAUUAUCUAGUGGAAUAUUGUGGGUCGUUGGAUUCUGAUGGAGAAUGGGGGUGGACUUUUGCCUUUAUGAACCAAUUUUUUGGUGGGAUUCGGAGAUUCUCUUGUGCCUUUGCAUUCCUAAUAUGAGUGGAUAUAAGUGAGAAGAGGUCCCUCCGAGAGAGGACAGAAGGAUUGUUGAUCUGGAAUGGAAGAAACUCUGCAACAGCUCCACCUGGGCACUGUUGAAAUCCAUUGUUUCCAUUAGUGCUGAGAGCCGAUUGCUGAGGUCGUCGACCUCCUGGUGAAGUUUCUUGAUGCAGUUGCAUGUCUCGUGUAGGAUGUUUUCUGGAGAAGCCUGCAUCAGGCAGCAUCAGUGUGCAAGCACUCACAUGGGCAUACAGUGGUCAUGGCAUUCACAGCUUACAUGGGAUGAAGAGAGACAUGCCCUGCUAGAGUACUACAUUGAAUUCAUGAGGAUCACUCCAGGACUACCCUAAAGGCAAUCUGCUGGUGGAAGAUUUCCAUGAGUGUGAGUGACCGCAGCUAUUUCUCUACUAGAGCUAUAUUAAUUUCAAUGCUCUUGGUCAAGCUACUAAGGUUACUUAAAAAGAUGUAACCAAUUUCAAUGUCUCUGGCCGAGCCACCAACAUAAAAUGAGAAAUAUUGUUUGGUCGGCCUUUGAAAUUGUGGGUUGAGUUCAUGAUCUUGAUCUCAAAUUUUUCAUUGGGCAAUGCACAUGGUCAUAUCUCAUAAUUUCUAGAUC